AGUGCUGUAGGGACCGAGUGGUAAGGUUUCAGGUUAGGAGCCGGAGGGUUCCAGGUUCGAAGCCUGACUCCACUG